CCUACGUGGGGCAGCAGUGAGGAAUAUUGGUCAAUGGGCGCGAGCCUGAACCAGCCAAGUAGCGUGAAGGAUGACUGCCCUACGGGUUGUAAACUUCUUUUAUAAAGGAAUAAAGUGCGGCACGUGUGCCUUUUUGUAUGUACUUUAUGAAUAAGGAUCGGCUAACUCCGUGCCAGCCGCCGCGGUAAUACGGAGGAUCCGAGCGUUAUCCGGAUUUAUUGGGUUUAAAGGGAGCGGAGGUGGGUUGUUAAGUCAGUUGUGAAAGUUUUGGGAUCAACCGUAAAAUUGCAAUUGAUACUGGCAGUCUUGAGUACAGGUGAGGUAGGCGGAAUUCGUGGUGUAGCGGUGAAAUGCGUAGAUAUCACGAAGAACUCCGAUUGCGAAGGCAGCUUACUAAACUGCAACUGACAUUGAUGCACGAAAGUGUGGGGAGCAAACAGGAUUAGAUACCCGUGUAGUC
rnacentral:rRNA from 1 species